rnacentral:rRNA from 1 species
GACGAACGCUGGCGGCGUGCUUAACACAUGCAAGUCGAACGGGCCCGCUCUCUUUUUUGGGGGUGGGUUGAGUGGCGAACGGGUGAGUAUCACGUGAGUAACCUGCCCCCUGCUCCUGGAUAACUGCUUGAAAGGGCGGCUAAUACGGGGUGUGCCGGCUGGUCCGCAUGGGCCUGGUCGGGAUAGUUUCAUCUUCGGGUGUUUCGGUGGGGGAUGGGCUCGCGGCCUAUCAGCUUGUUGGUGGGGUGAUGGCCCACCAAGGCGGUGACGGGUAGCCGGCCUGAGAGGGUGGGCGGCCACACUGGGACUGAGACACGGCCCAGACGCCUGCGGGAGGCAGCAGUGGGGGGUAUUGCACAAUGGGCGGAAGCCUGAUGCAGCGACGGCGCGUGAGGGAUGGAGGCCUUCGGGUUGUGAACCUCUUUCUCCGGUGGUGAAGGCCCUGUCCGUUGCGGCGGGGUUGACGGUAGCCGGGUAUGAAGCGCCGGCUAACUACGUG